rnacentral:lncRNA from 10 species
CUUCGCCCCGUCCCGUCCGCGCAGCGCGUCCGGCCCGCCCGCAGGCCAGCUUCUCUCGGGAGCCCCCACCCAGGCGCAUGGCUCCAUGAAGCAAGAGGAGGAGGCAGAGCGCGAGAGGUCCCGUCCGCCCCAGCCGCGUCUGGGCCAGGAUAAAAGCAAAACCAUAUUCCUGCUGCUGUCAGUUAUGAUGCACUGAGAAAACUUCAGAGACCUAAACUUUUUCCAGAGAAGAGAAGCUUUACUGGUGUUCCAGCCCUAAGAAACCUUUGUUCAAGAAAACGGCAGAUGCUCUGUUGAAUCCACUGGAGAUUGUUCUGAUACUAAGGACAAGUAUGCUCAUAUGACAUUAACAGACAAGACACUUUUCAGAAAGACAGGCAACGUGUUGGACCUUCCGGAGCUUCUCAGAAGACAGAGGGUUUUCUUUUGAGACAAAUCAACUCAAUCAAAGAAACCAACUCAAUCAAAGAAAGAUGGGUCUACAUACAACAAAACUGAACAAAAUCUGCAAGAAGAGUGAUUCAUACAUGGGCUAUUGAGGCAACAUGAAAUGGACAUUAAUCGACUAAGUAAAAAACAGAUUUCUUGAAGAAUUAAUAAAGAACUUUUGUUUUGGAAGUUCGCUAUUGUUUAAAAUUAGCCAGAUGUGGUGGCCUGCACCUACAGUCCCAGCUACUCA